UUGCCAGGAUUUUUCUCACGUCAACUUGUUCACGAGUGAUCUCAGGAGGUAGCACCAUCGUCGUGAACCUGUGAUUUUUUUUCUUUGUCACCUUUGGUCCAUCUUACACGGAACAUUGAGAUCUUUGUGAUCGAGUACUCCAAUUCCCAGAUCUCCUCGAUAACGCCGAAGAACGCUUUGGUUUUGUUGUUGUCGUCGAUCGCAGUCUCAGAAUUCAUGACUACACCACUAUUUUGAUACGUGCUUUUACGGUCCUGAGACGCAGUGUAGAAGUUAUAGCCGUUG
rnacentral:lncRNA from 1 species